rnacentral:lncRNA from 1 species
AGAAAAGGUGAGAGGAAGUGCAGUCUGUCCUACCGCUAACUUGUCUGCGAGCAGCUGCAAGGGAAAAAAAAAAAAGCCUAAAGAAUGCUUUACUUCAAUGGGUGAUUGGAAUAAAGGAUUAUUACCAAGUGAUGAUGGGAAGCCCCCAAAGAUACAAUCCUGAAUAUUGAAAUCCUCGCUGAUCAUCCUUGAAGCCUGAACUCCAGGAUCAUCGUCCCCAGAGAUUCAAAUCCUGAGUGCUGAAAUCCUAAAACCUCAAUCAAGACCCCCAACCCGGAAUUCCCACAUUGCUGGGAAACUGCUAC